UACCCCUGGCAAUGGGCAAAGAGAUACCUUGUUGGUGGUGGUACUCUUGUAUCAGUCAGGAACAGAGCAGAUAGCAGUCCUCUGUUCAUCCUAACUUGAUUUGGCCUUGAUGGCCAAAGGUGUCUUAUGCCUAGGACUCAAUC